rnacentral:rRNA from 1 species
UACGGUGGGAGCUAGCGUUGUUCGGAAUUACUGGGCGUAAAGCGCACGUAGGCGGCUUUGUAAGUUAGAGGUGAAAGCCUGGAGCUCAACUCCAGAACUGCCUUUAAGACUGCAUCGCUUGAAUCCAGGAGAGGUGAGUGGAAUUCCGAGUGUAGAGGUGAAAUUCGUAGAUAUUCGGAAGAACACCAGUGGCGAAGGCGGCUCACUGGACUGGUAUUGACGCUGAGGUGCGAAAGCGUGGGGAGCAAACAGG